rnacentral:rRNA from 1 species
GACAGAGGUGCCGAGCGUUAGGCGGAAUCACUGGGCUUAAAGCGUGUGUAGGCGGGUCGUUAAGUGUCUUGUGAAAUCCCACCGCUCAACGGUGGAACUGCUGGGCAUACUGGCGAUCUUGAGCCACCUAGGGGCAGACGGAACAAGCGGUGGAGCGGUGAAAUGCGUAGAGAUCCGGAAGAACACCGGUGGCGAAGGCGGCCUGCUGGGCAGUAGCUGACACUGAGGCGCGACAGCGUGGGGAGCAAACAGG